rnacentral:lncRNA from 1 species
GGACCAAGUUGAGCUCCCUGACCUCCUGUAGGGUUUUAUUUUGUAGGGUGCUACUGCAAGUUCCAGCUGCCCUUCCCCUGAAGAUAGUCCAAGUUCUGAUGGAAGGUGGUGAUCCCUUUAACUUAACCAACUACAGAGGUCUGGUAUGCCUUUGUUGCAGUUGUUCACUUCCAUUCUACAUUCUGGAGCUCAGUAUAAUCACCCUUAUGAUCGCCGGUGCCUCUGCAGUGUGGAUCUAGGUGAUAUCUUGGGCCACUUUCCACCUUUGUUCAGUUCUCAAAUACAUCAUCGGCCGAAAGAACCUCUGGGACACUACCAUGUCUGACACAUACAGCCUUUCAUCAAAAUUGGCCAUUAUUCCUUUGAUUUGAUCUUAGUAGGGUAUUACAGAUUCCUUAUGGUCAGGAGCAUAUGUUUUGCUCUGCAGAAAAAAUAGCCAGAAUAUUUAGGUGGAACUAUCGAUCAAAUAAAGAUUUAAGAAGUUUCAUUUUUCUUUCUAAGCCAAACCAAAAUAUAUGACAAUGGUAUAUUGUUGAAAUUAAAUGUUUCGUCAUCCCUUUCUGUUUGCCAAUUUUAUUCAUAGACA